rnacentral:rRNA from 1 species
AAAAGCAAAUAAGGGCGUAUGGCGGAUGCCUAGGCUCACGGAGGCGAUGAAGGACGUGAUAAGCUGCGAUAAGCCGCGGUUAGGUGCAAAUGACCCUUGACCCGCGGAUUUCCGAAUGGGACAACCCGGCCGCCUUAAGGCGGUCAUCAUGACUGUGUCAUGAGGCGAACGCGGGGAACUGAAACAUCUUAGUACCCGCAGGAAGAGAAAAUAAGUCAAUGAUUCCCCCAGUAGUGGCGAGCGACCGGGGAAGAGCCCAAACCGGGUGUGUCGAGGCACAUCCGGGGUUGUAGGACCGCGCUGUUGUACGAGCAUGAGCGAGCGUGACCGUCUGGAAAGUCGGGCCGCAGCGGGUGACAGCCCCCUUCGCGAAGUUCAUGCCGGCAUAGCGGUAUCCUGAGUAACGCGGGACACGAGGAAUCCUGCGCGAAUCCGCCGGGACCAUCCGGCAAGGCUAAAUACUCCCGUGAGACCGAUAGUGAACGAGUACCGUGAGGGAAAGGUGAAAAGCACCCCUAGCAGGGGAGUGAAACAGUCCCUGAAACCAUGCGCCUACAAGCGGUCGGAGCUGCUUUUGCAGUGACGGCGUGCCUUUUGCAUAAUGAGCCUACGAGUUGCCAUGUCCGGCAAGGCUAAGGGCGAGUACGCCCGCAGCCGCAGUGAAAGCGAGCCUGAACAGGGCGCCGAGUCGGAUGGGGCAGACGCGAAACCAAGUGAUCUACGCAUGGCCAGGCUGAAGUCCCGGUAACACGGGAUGGAGGGCCGCACGGAUAAGCGUUGAAAAGCUUCCCGAUGAGCUGUGCGUAGGAGUGAAAGGCCAAUCAAACUUGGAGAUAGCUCGUACUCCCCGAAAGGCAUUUAGGUGCCGCGUCGGAUGUUCACCGCGAGAGGUAGAGCGACCGAUAGGACGAGAGGGCUUCACCGCCUAUCGAGUCCUGACGAACUCCGAAUGCUCGCGGUCCGCAGUCCGGCAGUAAGGGGGCGGGUGCUAAGGUCCGUCCCCGAGAGGAGAAGAAUCCUGACCGUCGUCUAAGGUCCCGAAAUUCUGUCUAAGUUAGUCUAACGAGGUCUGGUCUCAGUGACAGCUAGGAUGUUGGCUUGGAAGCAGCCAUUCAUUCAAAGAGUGCGUAACAGCUCACUAGUCGAGGGUCCGGGCAUGGAUAAUAAUCGGGUAUAAGGCAGACACCGAAGGCGCGGGAUAGCAUUUAAGAAAGUAUCGGUAGGGGAGCAUACUCACAGCGUGGAAUGGUGUACGUAAGUUAUCCUGGAGCGGUGAGUAAAGCAAAUGUAGGAAUAAGUAACGAUAAGGAGGGUUAGAUUCCCUCCCGCUGUAAGACCAAGGUUUCCCGGGCAAUGCCAAUCAGCCCGGGGUCAGUCGGGUCCUAAGUCUAAGCCGAACGGCGAUGGCGAUGGCAGAGACGGUUAAUAUUCCGUCACUGCCGCAUGGGGCGACGUGGAGACGGAGCAGUGAAACCACCGCGGGGCGACGGAAGUCCCCGUUGAAGAGUGUAGGUGUUGAGGAUGGCAGGCAAAUCCACCGUCCGAGCUGAACUUGAUAGUAUGGAGUCUUCUUCGGAAGAAUCCAAUAGUGUGGGUAAUCAUACUCCCGAGAAAAUCCGCUAAGCUUAACCCAUGCGGCACCCGUACCGCAAACGGACACACGUGGUCGGGUAGAACAUACUAAGGCGUUGAGAGAUUCAUGGUUAAGGAACUAGGCAAAUUGACCCUGUAACUUCGGGAUAAAGGGUCCUCGUGAUGAGCGAGGCGCAGAGAAUAGGUCCAGGCAACUGUUUAACAAAAACACAGGGCUGUGCAAACUCGAAAGAUGACGUAUACAGCCUGACACCUGCCCGGUGCCGGAAGGUUAAGAGGAGAUGUCACUCGCAAGAGGAAGCAUUGAAUUGAAGCCCCGGUAAACGGCGGCCGUAACUAUAACGGUCCUAAGGUAGCGAAAUUCCUUGUCAGGUAAG